AUUUUCUUCUCUUUGGAUGAUAUAAACUAAGAAGAAGGUAAACUGCUCGUGGAACUUUUAUUUGGAACAAUGCCAAUUGUUUUGUGGAGUAUUAGCCCAAGGACCAUAGAAUACUGAGGACACACAGGGAUCAUCCAGUAAAGCACAGACUCUGGGAAGCUCCUGGCAAACAACCUGGGGCCUCAACAAAUAAGUUGGGAUACUUAGUUUUCCUUUCCUUGUGAGCAGUGUGGACAAAGUAAAUGGCUUGGCUCUGACAUGGAAACUUGCUGUUAGUGUCACGAUAUUUCCAAUGGUCAAUUUAAAAAUCUAAACUAAAACUCCUUUAGAGAAGAAUAUAAGACAGUAAUGAUCAGUAUGAUUCAUCAGUCAAGAAACAAUUUUUAAAUCCCUGCCAUUUUUACAAGGCACCAUGCCAUGCCCUGUGAGGGACAUGAAGACCAACAGAAGUCGGCCUCUGUGUCUGAAAACUUACAAUCGAGCAAGCUU
rnacentral:lncRNA from 1 species